rnacentral:lncRNA from 1 species
CAUUUAAUGUGUCCAGAUAUUACAACACUGAGCUGUCAUCUUAAUGGUCCAGAUAUGUUACAACACUGAGCUGUCAUCUUAAUGUGUCCGAUUGAUACAACACUGAGCGUCAUCUUAAUGUGUCAGAUAUGUACAACUGAUGUCAUCUUAAUGUGUCCAGAUAUGAUACAACACUGAGCUGUCAUCUUAAUGUGUCCAGAUAUGAUACAACACUGAGCUGUCAUCUUAAUGUGUCCAGAU